rnacentral:rRNA from 1 species
UACGUAGGGUGCAAGCGUUAUCCGGAAUUAUUGGGCGUAAAGAGCUCGUAGGCGGUUUGUCGCGUCUGCUGUGAAAACUGGAGGCUCAACCUCCAGCCUGCAGUGGGUACGGGCAGACUAGAGUGCGGUAGGGGAGAUUGGAAUUCCUGGUGUAGCGGUGGAAUGCGCAGAUAUCAGGAGGAACACCGAUGGCGAAGGCAGAUCUCUGGGCCGUAACUGACGCUGAGGAGCGAAAGUGUGGGGAGCGAACAGG